UCUCUGAUGGUUCAGUGGCUAAGACUCUGCGCUCCCAAUGCAAGGGUCCUGGGUUCGAUCCCUGGUCAGGCAA
rfam:Ovis aries breed Texel chromosome 8, whole genome shotgun sequence.